rnacentral:piRNA from 1 species
UGCAGGUUGUCUCUUGAUACAUAUGCAC